rfam:Desulfovibrio vulgaris str. 'Miyazaki F', complete genome.
GCCGAGGUGGUGGAAUUGGUAGACACGCUAUCUUGAGGGGGUAGUGGGAGAAAUCCUGUAAGGGUUCGAGUCCCUUCCUCGGCA